rnacentral:rRNA from 1 species
GAUGAACGCUGGCGGCGUGCCUAAUACAUGCAAGUCGAGCGAACAGACGAGGAGCUUGCUCCUCUGACGUUAGCGGCGGACGGGUGAGUAACACGUGGAUAACCUACCUGUAAGACUGGGAUAACUUCGGGAAACCGGAGCUAAUACCGGAUAAUAUAUUGAACCUCAUGGUUCAAUAGUGAAAGACGGUUUUGCUGUCACUUAUAGAUGGAUCCGCGCCGCAUUAGCUAGUUGGUAAGGUAACGGCUUACCAAGGCAACGAUGCGUAGCCGACCUGAGAGGGUGAUCGGCCACACUGGAACUGAGACACGGUCCAGACUCCUACGGGAGGCAGCAGUAGGGAAUCUUCCGCAAAGGGCGAAAGCCUGACGGAGCAACGCCGCGUGAGUGAUGAAGGUCUUCGGAUCGUAAAACUCUGUUAUUAGGGAAAAACAAAUGUGUAAGUAACUAUGCACGUCUUGACGGUACCUAAUCAGAAAGCCACGGCUAACUACGUG